AACGAACGCUGGCGGCAGGCUUAACACAUGCAAGUCGAGCGCCCCGCAAGGGGAGCGGCAGACGGGUGAGUAACGCGUGGGAAUCUACCCAUCUCUACGGAAUAACGCAUGGAAACGUGUGCUAAUACCGUAUACGUCCUUCGGGAGAAAGAUUUAUCGGAGAUGGAUGAGCCCGCGUUGGAUUAGCUAGUUGGUGGGGUAAAGGCCUACCAAGGCGACGAUCCAUAGCUGGUCUGAGAGGAUGAUCAGCCACACUGGGACUGGGACACGGCCCAGACUCCUACGGGAGGCAGCAGUGGGGAAUAUUGGACAAUGGGCGCAAGCCUGAUCCAGCCAUGCCGCGUGAGUGAUGAAGGCCCUAGGGUUGUAAAGCUCUUUCACCGGUGAAGAUGAUGACGGUAACCGGAGAAGAAGCCCCGGCUAACUUCGUGCCAGCCGCCGCGGUAAUAC
rnacentral:rRNA from 1 species